UACGGAGGGUGCAAGCGUUGUUCGGAUUUACUGGGCGUAAAGCGCGUGUAGGCGGUCAGGCAAGUCGGAUGUGAAAUCCCGUGGCUCAACUACGGAAGUGCACCCGAAACUGCUUGACUUGAGUCCCGGAGAGGAAGGCGGAAUGCUUGGUGUAGAGGUGAAAUUCGUAGAUAUCAAGCGGAACACCGGUGGCGAAGGCGGCCUUCUGGACGAGGACUGACGCUGAGACGCGAAAGCGUGGGGAGCAAACGGG
rnacentral:rRNA from 1 species